rnacentral:rRNA from 1 species
GAUGAACGCUGGCGGCGUGCCUAACACAUGCAAGUCGAGCGGAGAAUUGUUGCUUGCAACCCUUCUUAGCGGCGGACGGGUGAGUAACACGUGGGUAACCUGCCCUAAACAAAGGGAUAACAAUGAGAAAUCAUUGCUAAUACCGUAUAAGCUUACACUAUCGCAUGAUAGAGUAAGAAAAGAUUUAUCGGUUUAGGAGGGGCCCGCGUCUGAUUAGCUAGUUGGAGAGGUAACGGCUCACCAAGGCGACGAUCAGUAGCCGACCUGAGAGGGUGAUCGGCCACAUUGGGACUGAGACACGGCCCAAACUCCUACGGGAGGCAGCAGUGGGGAAUAUUGCACAAUGGAGGAAACUCUGAUGCAGCAACGCCGCGUGAAGGAAGAAGGUUUUCGGAGCGUAAACUUCUAUCUACAGGGAAGAAAAAAAUGACGGUACCUGAGUAAGAAGCCCCGGCUAACUACGUG